GCUACGCGCAAAUGCUGCCAUGAGGCAUACGUACACCCCCAACGAUUGGCCGGCCUGUCAAUUGACGAGGCCAUAAUAAGAUUGAGAUCAAGCCUCGCGUUGUAUUUCGCGUCUAAACCCCCUGGGUCGUCAAGAGGCAGGAGUAAAGGGGAGCGCCGCCGCGAUCUAUGGUGCUCAUGUGAUGAUGCACAUGUGCCCGUGAGCAACAAAACUGCGUCUCUCUUCCUUUGUCUAUAGCGAAACUAAGCGCAACCAGCGAGUGAAAAACAACAGAGAAGCUGCGCCAGCACUUGCAGUGGACCGCCACGACGAGCAUCAUCGUAAGCCGACAUGAGCACCAGCCCAAAAGGAUAUGGGCGAUGAUCAUCUGGGCUGGCUCCUGUGGAGGAAGGUUCUUAUAGAAACUACGCUGCUGUACUACAUGUUGACUACGGGGCCAAUUGUCUGAUGGAACGCCUACCGACUACACCGGACGUAGAACUCGAAAGAUGGAGAUCACUGCUAGCAGAAGUCAACACAAAUAAAGCUCCUGGCAAAGAGCAGUUGCGCGGAACAAACGAUGGGGCGAUUUGACUACUCGUGCGACCAAUACUGUAUUUAUGCGUUUUUUUCGAUAGUGUGUUCGGUGAAGUUCGCGGAGAAGAGCAACGCUAAAUACGGGAACGGAUUUACAAGGGCAAGGGGUGACCUGACGAGGUACAAGGUGUCGGUAGCCGUUAUCCUGCUUUCCCUUCCAAACUUCAUCGCAAUGAAAAGGCUUUCCUGUGUUAUUUGAUUACAUUUCGGCUCUCAGGGGGACCCGCAAGGAAAACGUUUCAAAGGAGUUCGCGAUGUCUACUACCACUGUCCGCGCUAUAGCCCCGAUCCCUAUCGAAGAAGCAAGACUCUACGCUCAGUAACGGAUCUCUAUGCGCACUACGACUACUAUUGCUUCUAUUACCAUUACCACUAAAUCAGGCCUGAGCGCUAUUCCCGCCAGAGAUAGCAUAGUACGCUCCGUAGGCGCGCAGAAACAGGCGACCCUGCACCAGCAGGAGAAGGGCCAGGCUGAGAUCUCGAUCAGGCCGAGU
rnacentral:lncRNA from 1 species